CCCCCCGGCGNCCAGUUAAGGCGGGCCCGCCGAAGCAACGAGGUAAAUAAACACGGGUGGGAGGUUGGACCCAAAGGGCCCUCACUCGGUAAUGAUCCUUCCGUAGGUGAACCUGCGGAAGGAUCAUUA
rnacentral:rRNA from 1 species